GUGCUUAACACAUGCAAGUCGAGUGCGCGUCUGUAGCAAUACAGAUGGCGCACGGCGCACGGGUGCGUAACACGUGGGCAAUCUGCCCUUCGAUGGGGAAUAUCUUCGGGAAACCGAAGCGAAUUCCGCAUAACAUUCCUUGGACUUCGGUUUGAGGACUCAAAGCCUGUCAAGUGCGUCUGAAGUGAGUGAGCCCUGCGCCCUGAUUUACGCUAGUUGUGUGGUGGUAUAUGGCCUCACCUAAUGGCGAAUAGAUCAGCGUAUGCUGGAUCCUUGAUCAGUGAUUGGCCUAGCCUACUACUGUGAACUUGAGUACACUGGUCCUAG
rnacentral:rRNA from 1 species